AUUGAACGCUGGCGGCAGGCCUAACACAUGCAAGUCGAGCGGAUGAAGGAAGCUUGCUCCUGGAUUCAGCGGCGGACGGGUGAGUAAUGCCUAGGAAUCUGCCUGGUAGUGGGGGAUAACGUCCGGAAACGGGCGCUAAUACCGCAUACGUCCUGAGGGAGAAAGUGGGGGAUCUUCGGACCUCACGCUAUCAGAUGAGCCUAGGUCGGAUUAGCUAGUUGGUGGGGUAAAGGCCUACCAAGGCGACGAUCCGUAACUGGUCUGAGAGGAUGAUCAGUCACACUGGAACUGGGACACGGUCCAGACUCCUACGGGAGGCAGCAGUGGGGAAUAUUGGAAAAUGGGCGAAAGCCUGAUCCAGCCAUGCCGCGUGUGUGAAGAAGGUCUUCGGAUUGUAAAGCACUUUAAGUUGGGAGGAAGGGCAGUAAGUUAAUACCUUGCUGUUUUGACGUUACCAACAGAAUAAGCACCGGCUAACUUCGUG
rnacentral:rRNA from 1 species